CGAUUCUGCAACCGCUGUUCGGAGAAAACCAGUUGUUUUCUCAGAGGGGACCCCUUCAGUCCAGUUACACGCCCUCGAUUCGCGCUUGGAUAGACCCGUCAGUCGCCUUCCCUGAUAAUCAGCAACAUAUAAUUCCACCGGCGAUCUACCAAUCUUCGUUUCCGGGUCUCGGAUUCGCCUCCGGCGGAUUCUCCAGGUUUCUCAUUCCGGCGCGAAUCCCGGGUGAAGAGGAACAUGAUGGUAUUUCCGAAAAGCCAUCCUCUGCUUCCUCCAACUCCCGCCAUUGAAUCAGCUCAACACCUCAAAUCUCUCUCUCUCUAAGCUGACUUCUCCAUCGUCAACUAAUAAAGUCAGAGUUCAAGCUGCCACGCCAUUGCUGCUAAUUCGGAAGCUUGUUUGCAGGGAGCAGAAUUUGGGUCACUUUCUCAAUGGCUUACACAGUGGGAAGAAGACGAAUUCUGAAAGCAUCUUCAGGUCUCUUCACUCCUGAAUUAUCUUAUCUUCUGUUCUAUCAGUUAAUUAGUUAUUUAUGGCUUUUCGUUUCCUGUUUGAAAAGCUUGCCCCUAUAUCUUUCCAUUCCAGAACUUUCUAUGUCAUGUAGUGUAUCUGUAUGGUCCUGUGUCUUAAUUUAUGGUGUAUUUUAAUGGCGGAGACAUUUGCCUUUUCCAUUCCUACACAACAUUCUAGUCUUCUUUCUGGCAUCUUUUCCCCUUGUUUUCAUGGUAAUAAUGGAAACCCAAUGUCCACAAAAAGGGAGAAAUUGUUACCCCCUGCAAUAGCUUGGAUCACUUUUCUCAAAUGUAUCCUUGAUUUGUGCUA